UUGUGUUUAAUAUAUACCUAUAUAGCUAUGUGGCACAUGAUCUUGGACCAAUGAGGAUUCCCUAGGGGCGGAGCUAUACCUAUAUAGCUAUGUGGCACAUGCUCUUGGAACAAUGAGGAUUACCUAGGGGCGGAGCUACCCAGUAUGACACCAUGGGAGCGGAGGCCAAACGCCUGGCAAAAUGUCCUGUUGGCAGUGUUUGUGUCACAGGUCAUUUCCACUGCGAAGGGGAAUAUCUUUCAGAGAAAAUGCAGCAUGUUUGAAAAAUAUUCAAGACUUCAUCACAAUAUCAGAGAUAACAUGUGGAUACUCCACCAAAAACCUCCUGCAUUUUUGAUGACUCAACCUUCUCUCCUCUUCCAGAGAUGAAGUGACUCAUAAGGAGAGGCAGAUGAACUUGUGGUUGUGUGUUUCUGCCGUAUAUGAAGUUUUACUGGUGUCACAUGGACGCUGAGAAGAAAAGAUCAGAUACAAUUACACCAAGAAGGUUAGCAGGAGGACAACUCUGGCUUUUAAUAAACAUGUAAUAAGAAGGAAAACAGCUGGUAGCUGCAUCACAGAUGGUGCUGUUCUUGGCAUCUCCGAGGAGGGGACCACACAUGCAGAUGGCUCAUUAUUCCAGCAUUUGGUUAUGCAUAUUGCUCAAAAUCUUAUUCCAAUGCUUAAUAACCAGUAUAUGCAAUACAGGUGUUAGAGU